AAACACAACAGCAAUUGGUUACAAAGAUUUUCUGAGUGUGACUCAGUUUUGUUCCAGUGUCACCAAACAGCAUAGGAUGCCCAUUACCUGUGAGACGCCUUGGAGGAUGACACAGAAGGACCUGCUAUCCGCAGUGGAAGAGGAACUGACCCCAGACCACAAAACCAUUGCGUACAGUUUUAAGUGGCAAAAAUGAAACGUUUGCAGAGUCCUUUGGGAAAGGCUUCCCACUGGUAGCCACUGUCACCUAAGCCUUAAAGGAUACGGUGGCGUUACAGAGCAUCCAUAUUGGAAUACCGUGUACCAGGAAUACAGAUGACAGGACUGUGCUGUCCAUAGUGUAGCCACAGCUAUGUGUGCUGCAAAACACCUGAGACUUGGCUCCUCCGAAUAGAGAUGUAUCAUAAAUGGAAGACACACAAUGGAUUUAAGACUUCACAGGAAAAGGAAAAUGUGAAAAAACUCAGUAACUGUGUCAACUGAUGGCAAGCGGAAAUGACAUCUGCUUCUGGUAUGGAAACGCAGGGUCACUGACGGGCCUGCGUGUGGAAGCACCUGCAACUACCAGCCCCUUCCCCUCAGCAAGGAAGAGAUGUGUGAUUUGUGAAGGGAGGCUCAGCCCUCCCCGGUUUUGCAUCAUGCAUUGUAGUUAUAAAGUAGAAUAAUUCUGUCAGCA